ensembl:lncRNA
CUGAUAUCUUUUGAGCAGAAAUAAUUCUGAAUGUCUCUCUUGUUUACCAUACAACUAAGUACAGGAAUGUGUGGUGGGUGGUACCGUAGUAACUUGGUUAAGGUGGAACUACAUUUCCCAGAAUCCCCUUCCGUCAAUGGUUCUAGGUCAGAGUUGGCCAAAAGAGGAAUUUACUUGAGAUCUGGAAGGAGGAACCAGAGAAGCAGUCAUUGCUCUCUGAAGUCAUUACCCUUUUCUUGGUUAGACAGAAGGGGAUGCUGGCAGGUUCCACACUUCCUCACACUGCUCUGGUCUCUUUUUCCCAAAUAUUGGACCUACUGACCAAAAACAGCCCCAGGCCCAUCACCAGAGGCUUGGCAGGAGACAGAGAGGUGGGAUUCAAGAAAUAUUUAACGAAUCAAAUGACUAAAUGUAUUUAGUAAGCUACACUAAUGCAGCAAAUGAUUUAAGCUCCUCUUCACACAAUAGCUUCAAUAUAUUGAUAAUGUUCUAUUAAUUUAUAGAAUUAUAUAACGUUUUGCAUGUAUCAAAUGUCACAUAACUUUUUUUUAAGAAUAAAGCACAUCAGAGGGCAGUGAUAUUAAAUAUUUAGAGAGAUUUAAAUAAGUUGAGACCACAAUGAGCAAAAAUAAGUUAAGCAAUCCAAACCCACCACUUCUUUAUUUACCUAAUUAUUUAGCAGUUUCAUUCACUUUGCCUGAAAACUCUCAAACGUUUAUAGCUACUAUCUUUAACAGCCAAACUCCUGAGUCUGAGAGCCAACCAGCAAGAUGGCUCCUUAGUCUGUUUUAUUUUCAGUAUUUACUGAUAAACUAGAUCCAGUGCUGGAAUUUAUGACAAGUGUACAUAACAGGCUCAAUAAUUCUGUAUUAAAAGAACUGAUGGCUUACCUUCAUAUUGGUAUCAGUCCAGUUCAACUAUCUCAACAUCUGAGUUACCACAAAGCAAUACAAACAAAACAUCAAAGGAAAUAAGAAAUAUAAUUGCUAGUCCAUUUCUGUAGAUAAAAAAAUAAGAUUGUGUUCUGCCCUGUUAUUUCUUGUGUUUGCCUCUAGCAGCACCAUAAGUUUGGGUGACUGCCUCCCUACAGAUAACUUCCCAAGCUGUAUGUCUAACACUGAACUUCCAGCAAAGUCAUAAGGCCCUGGGCCCAGAGGGCAGCAUUCUAUUCAUCUGUGUGUUGCCAAUGUUUACAGAGGACUUCCUAUAUUCUGAAUCCCUUAUUAUUAGAAACAUUCCCUAUUUAGGCCUCCAGCACUCCUAUGAGAUAAGCACUAUUAUACAGAUUCGGUGUUGACAUGUACUAGAUGUAUAACCUUGGCAGGCAUAGAGGGAUUGAGCAGCUUUUUCCAAGAUCAUAUAUCCGGUACCUGUUGACACCAGGAUCUGAACCCGGGCCGGGUCUGACGCAGAACCCAAGCUCCCCACCCUCAUUCGACAGUCCACCCUCCUCUCCCAUUAGAUGAGGCAACUUGAGAAUAAUGUCUGCCUCUGACUCAUCUUAGUAUCCGCCCAAAGCACGCAAUGCAUUCGUAUUUGCUGUGUGUCAACAGUUACCUGUUGACUAAGUACAUUCUCAGUGAGAAAGUUAGCUGAGGUAUUGCCUGAUAUCAAAGAGUAAUUCCUGCUCCAGUUUAAACUAGAGAACACCCUACUAAGUUUCAUAAAACUUAACAGUGCAAACAAUGAAGACAAAAACUAGAAGAUAAUUAAACUAGAGUCAUGUGACCUCUAUACCUCAAACGUAUCCCAGUCUUGAGGAUUCAUGUAAUAUUAUCAUAUCUCACAUACUACAUCCUAUUGACUCUACUGGGCUUCCUUCCCAAAGGAAUGAAUAAACUGCAAGUUUCUGCCCCUCCCGGACCUAUUGCAGUUAAGAGGGCCAAAUCCAGCCAAGUUCUCAGAGAUGACAACUACAGAGUAACUUUAAGGAUCAAAUGCCAUAAAAAAAGGUACUUUUCUGCCAGCCCCCACAGAGAUUUAACACUUGUGUUUUGUCACCCUACCUGAAUUAAAUGCAUUAGGAUUUUGUUCUGCGAAGAUAUCGUAUCCUCUCUCUCAUCUAACAAGAAUCCCCUACUUGGUACUCCUUAGUGAAUAACAGACCGACAGUUUGUUCAAAUACACCAAAACAUUGACCACCAUGCACCUUGGGAAUACAAAUGCUAUCCAUUUGGACUAAGUUUUCAGCACAAUAGUCUCACAGUAUGCAAUUUCAAUGGUAGGUCUAGAACAAUAAAAGGACUCUCCUAGACCUUCUGUGAUUUUAUUUUCCCUCGGGGCUGGCAAUUUCUUGGAGUUAGUCCUUUCUGGUAGGCCACUCUACCUCCACUCCCAGAGGCAGGCUGAGCCCUUCUCUGAAAUCCUGAGGUAAAGAGCGCCCCAGAUCUAGCCCCAGAUUUUCUCUCUGGGCCCCAGAUCUAGCCCUUUCAGGUCAAAAGCUUCCUCUUCAGCCACUGGACCCACCACCUAACCACUUGGAUGUGUCCCUUCCAGAGACUUCUUUCUCCUUGAGCAUAUUCUCAGCCCCACUCCUGUUCUGUUUACCAUGGGUUUCCAUUCCUUGCUAAAAGUCAGCUUUGUCUACAACUCUCCCCAGCAUCACUCCUUCACCUGACUCAGCAAGAGCCACACAAAUUCACACUUUAAAAAUACCUUUGCUGUAUCUUGAGCAUUGUUCCUUCCUUUAUAUCUGCGUGAAGCAACAAGGCAUAAACAUUUGAUUACAGCUUAAGUCCCUGACUCUCGGUGGGUAAAUGGCCCCGUUGUCCAUGACUUUUACGAUGAGGCAUUUUCCACCACAGACGUUAAUUAGUUCCUUUUAAAUUGAUGUCGUCAGAACAAGAGAAGAGCCUUGAAAUAAAGCAGAAGAGAUUCCUUGCUUCCUCAUCACCUGGAUACUAAAACACUUAAAUGUACCACUAAUGGGGGUUGUAAAAUUUCUAAUUCUGUGAAUCUUCAAGAAAAAAUAAAAUGGAGAGCAAACAAUUAUCCAUCCUCGAUGACUUGGUAUUAUUUGCCUGAAGGUAGAAUUUAGGAUGUUUUACAGUCCCUCUGAUUUAUUCUUUGUUUUCAUCACUACUUUAGAAGGUAAUCUGAUCCACUCUAAUGGUCCCAGAGAACCACUUAUCCUUUUCCAAGCCUUCACUCUAAGACUGAACCUGGCUUUUGGAACUCUUCUUUCUUUAAACUCAUUCCAAACACGGGCUUCAGAGAAUGACUUUCUACAGUCAACACAAACCUCAGACUUUGGGUCUCUCUAAUGACUGGUCACAGAAUGCAGAUGAAACAAAAACUCAGUUGUGCUCUCAAAGCUUCCAAAGCAAUACAGUGAACAAAGAUGCAGAGAUAAAGCACAGACUUCGAACAACAACAAAGCCCACUGGCUUACUUCCACGAAAGUCCCGAGUUCUAGAAAUAACCGUUCUGUAAAUGACCUUUUUUACUUAUCAGGAUCAUUCACUCAAACAAUCUUGAUAUGUCAUUGUCAUUGCUUAGAUCUUUAAAGAAAAAUGUCUUUCACUGGCACAAGAUAGAAGAUUCAAGAAUUCAGAGAAACAUAUAUAGGUUAAAAAAAGAAAUCUUCAGCAAGGCAGAUAUCAGACUGUGGCUUUUGGCUUCAAAUACUGUCAUCAGAUUACUCAAAUAAUAUUUUGUUUUGUGAGAUCCUUAAAAAUGGUUAUAUAUUGAGGCUGGCCCAGUGGUAUAGUGGUUAAGUUCUUGCACUCUGCUUCGACAGUCCAGGGUUUGCUGGUUCAGAUCCCGGGCACGGACCUAGCACCACUCGUCAGGCCACACCGUGGUAACAUCCCACGAAAAUAGAGGAAGACUGGCACAGAUGUUGACUCAGCAACAAUUUUUCUCAAGCAAAAAGAGGAAGAUUGGCAACAGUUGUUAGCUCAGGGCUAAAUCCUCCUCACACACACAAAAAAAGGCUAUAUAUUUUUCAUUUAAAAAAAUUUUCUCCUUUCCUAUUUGCAAUUAGGAUUGAAACUAUAAAUUCAGUCAAAAGCAGUAUUUUCCUUCAGAAAUCUACACUAUAAAUCUAUCAAGUUAGUUCUGUUAACUACCUCAGACAAAUUCUAAGUUGGGCAAACAUACUAGACAACAUUAAAUAACUAUGUGAAUUCAAUUAAUUACACAAGUAAUUCUCCACUUUUGGCAAGUGUUUGAUUCUGUUCUUAAAAGCUUAAAUACAAAAUGGAAACAGUUUAAUGUCAUGAAGAGCCUAGGACAUUUGCUGAACACCAGGAAAACCUCAAAAAGCACAUCGUGGGGUCAGCCUGGUGGCGUAAUAGUUAAGUUCCACAUGCUCUGCUUUGGUGGCCCAGGUUCAUGGGUUUGGAUCCUAGACAUGGACCUACACCACUCAUCAAGCCAUGCUGUGGCAGCAUCCCACAUACAACAUACAGGAAGACCAGCAGAGAUGUUACCGCAGGGCCAAACUUUCUCAAACAAAAAGAGGAGGAUUGGCAAUAGAUGUUAGCUCAGGGCCAAUCUUCCUCACCAAAAAAAAAAAAAAAAGAAAAAGAAAAAGCACAUCUUCAUUAAGUUCAAAGCAAAGAGAUUUGACUCCUUUAGAACAAUACAAUUAGAGCUGUGACUACAUAGAGAACUGAAUUGUUGUAAAAAGAAGAUAGAAUCUGGUAUUGGGAUGACCAGGAUUUGAAUCCUGGCUCAGUUACCUUGCAGAAGCUACGCAGGCUCUCUGAAAUUCAGUUUCUUCCACUGUAGAAUGAGAAUAACAGUAAUAUCCACCUCACAGAGUUGUUGUGAAGACGGAAUGAGUCAAUGAAGCAUUUGCAACCAAGGCAACACCUGAUACAUGGUAAACGUGUGUAAUAAAUGUGAAUUCCUUUCUUCUACCUCCCUUCCCUGUAUAAAACUCAUGUGGCAGGUUUUGAGAAUUUAUCAUGGUCAUGGAAUAGUUAUGUUCUUGAAGAAAACAGUGUGUUCAGAUCAUAUUUUAAGAACACUGAAGGAAAUUUUGACACAUGCUACAACAUGGAUGAAGCUUGAAGACACGAUGUUAAGCGAAAUAAGCCAGUCACAAAAGGACAAAUAUUGUGUGAUUCCUUUUAUAUCAGGUCCCUAGAGUAGUCAAAUUCAGAGAGAGAAAGUAGAACGGUGGUUGCCAGGGACUGGGGGGCGAGGAAAUGGGGAGUUGGUGUUUAACGGGGACACAUUUGGGGAAGAUGAAAAGGUUCUGGAGACGGAUGGGGUGACGGCUGCACAACAAUGUGAAUAUACUUAAUGCCAGAGAACUGUAUACUUAACAAUGGUUAAAAUGCUUAAGUUUUUGUUACGUAUAUUUUAUCACACACCAAAAGAAUACCGAAAAGUACUUGUUAUUUAAAAGAACCUUGUAAUAAACUGUUUUGAAAAGAGAAUUAUUCAGUAAAAUAAAUAAUUACGUUGUAGUUUACUUGUUCCAGCUUCCAGACUAAAGAGAGCAUGAUGGGAGAAAAACCAGGUAACUCCACGAUUUGGUAGAAUAACUUGCUUUCCCUUCAGCCAGGUCCUUGCUGCUGGGCAAUGCUGCACGACUCUUCCCCGGGCAGCUCCCUUUCUCACUUCCGACAAGGCGCCGUUCCAAGCACGCACAGACACCUUCAGACCAUCGCAGGAUACUUAUACUUACCUUAUACUAAAAUAAAGACCUCCCUUCUACCCUUUAUCUGUCAUCUACCUCCUAUUUUAGAUUGCUUUUUUAAAAAAAGGUAGUCUAUACUCAUUGUCCCUACUCGUUACCGCCCACUGCACUUAGUCAUUAAAAUGAAGUUUCUGACACCAGUAUUAUAAUUUUCCUCACUGAGGGCCUCUGACUUGGUCAACUCCAAUGGCCUCAUUUUACUUCUCAUCUCAACUGGACCUCUUAGCGGCAUCUGAUAUUGAUUACUUCCCUUUCUGAAUUGUUCUUCGAUGGUCUUUUCCUGAGUAUGCCCUUGAGAUGCUGGAGCAUCCUGGAGUCCUUUGCUUGGCCCUCCCUCAUUCUGCUCAGCUAGCUCUUCUUUGGGAUUCUCACCCAUCCACACACGUGUGACUCCACACUCUGUAUCUUUCUCUCCUAAAGUUCAGAGUCACAUUUCCAACUGUCUGCUAGUUAUCACCAUUUAGACGCCCCAUUCUCAAAUGUGCAAAACCAAAACCAAUGCUUCCUUUCUACACUCCCAUCUGAUCGUUAGAGGAUUAAAAAAUCUACAACCAUUUUCCAUUCUUCCAUCUCUCUCACAACUGCUAUAUGUAACUCCAGUCAGUAAGUCUCACACAUUCUACCUCCCCAAAUCAUCCUCCAUACUGUGUCUUCUCCUCCACCGUCUCCACGGCCAACGCCUUCACACAGGCCCUCCUCUCACUCACGUGCACGGCUGCAUGAGUCUCCUGACUAGUCUAUUCUCUUUAGUUUUUCCCCUUCAGUCCAAUUUUCACACUGCUGCCAGGCAUUUUUCUAAAUGUCAAUCGACACAACUCCUCUGAUUUUAAAACCUCCAGUGGCUCUCUGCAGCCGACAGGGCAGAGGCCAGCUAUUGGCAUUACACACACAGCUCCUUCCGACCUCAUUUCUCGCCACUUUCCCAUUCCCCAACUCCCAUGACCCUCAAGCUCCUUCUGGACUUCUCAAAAACUGAUCCUCAAACCUCUCCAGCUUGGUGCGUGCUCCUUGUUCCUCUCCACGUGGCACACAACUACACACUCUCAAAGACUCAAGGGCCAGUCUUCCCAGGCCUCCCCAGGCCGAAUUAAUCACAUGCUUUCGGAGCAGUUUGUACGUGAGGCCUCUGCUGCAACCUUAUCACACAGCAAGCACUUACUUGUUUCUUGCUCCCAAGCCAUCACUGAAACCUACUGGGUGGAGCACCUCAAGAUCAGGAAUUCUGCCUUACUCACUUCUCAGUCCACCCCAGAUUCUGUAAGGCUCACGUGGUCUCUCUCUCUAGUCAUGGAUUUCCCAACCAUCAAAGCUCAGUGACUUCACCGCCACACUGACAGACUGUGGCGAGUGUGUCUACUACAGGGCGUGAGAAAAUCAUUCAUUUGUUCAUUCAACUAACAUUUAUUAGAUGUGGGGAUACAUAGGCGAGUAAGACUUGAGCCUGCCCACUAAGGAGUUCACAGUCUAGUAGGGAAAACAAACACAUAAACAGACGUUUAUAUAGCAUGUGCUAGAAGCCCCGUGACAGAGUGAUUCCCAGGACAUUCUGGAGACAGAGGGGCUUGGAGGAGGACAAUUAACCCAGCAAGUGUGGGGUAGUGGGAAAAGAAGAGGACACUGGAGGGAGCUUCUAGGACCGAUGGCGCCCCAAGUGAGUCUCAGAGAACAUAAGGGAAAGAGGAGGAGACAGGACAGGCGGGAGACAGGACAAGGGACAUAUCUCAGUUAACCACAUUAACUUUUUGUCAGCUGCUCAAGUACAAGAAGUCAAAGUCAUGAUAUAAUCUUUGCAAAUAUAUCCACAUCUCUAAUUUAAAAACAAAUAACACAAUCUGCCAUCUCUGGAGACACCCCUUCUCACUCCCUUUUUUCUCGCCCUCUCUCUCACACCCACCAACAGGAAAAUCUUUAUACGUGUAAUGAAAACACACGUCGCAUCCUUCAUGGCAGUCCUGACACGUUUAGAGCCCGUGCUUCUCUUCUGAAGCCUCCGGCAGUGGUCACUUACUAUCUGUGCUAUUCCCCCAACGUCUCUCUGACCUCGCUCUCUCCCUCCUGCUACUCCUUCUCAGGGCCCUGACCCGCCAUCUCCUGCCGUGCUCACCAUCUACGCACACAGCAGAACUAGGCUACGCUGCCCUAUUUAUUCAAGAUGAUAUUACCGAGGACAAUCAUAUCCUUCUGUGCUAAGAAGAACUUAUUAACAAUAGUUCUUUUUUCACAGCAUAAAGUCUACCCUUUCAUUUAGAACCAGUUAUUACUGCUAUUCUGGUUUAGUUUCUCUAAAUCUUUAGUAGACGUGGCUUUUUCUUAAAAGAAAAAUAACCUUAUAAGAAAAAAAAUUAAAAUAAUAAUCAUCACACCACGUAGCAGAGAAAAUUCAGAUUUAAUUUCUGGCUUCAUCAGUGUUUUACUACACAAAUCCUUUGUCCAUUUAAUCUCAAAUCCUUAUAGAAAUCUUUAAAUAUGCCAUGUCACAUAGAGUAAUUUUUUAAAUAUUUUCAUGUUUUUGCUCCAUAUUAUUGACAAUUAUUUUACUGAUUUGAAAACUGAUUAAAUAUAUGUACAGACACAUAACAUAAAAGUAUAGAAAGUCAUCUUUCAACUUAGUAUUUACAUUUGUCAGUUACUACUUUCAUCAUAUUUACUAUGAAUUAAUUGCAUCCUGGCAAGUUCAAUUAAAAAACCACAUGAAUAACAGAACCGUGCUUGACGCUGGGAGGUAGGGGAGACAAAAAAGAGGUGAUCCCUAGUCUGGGAUCUGAUCUUGAAGCCACACUAACCAGGGGGAAGGGAAGGAACAGGAAAGGAAGGGAGGAGGGGAAGAGCACAGAUAAGUAUAGUUAAAAGCAAUAUUCGAAGUAAAAAAAUUAUACAGUAAGUUGAUUUCACUUACAGUGAAAAGAUUUCCUGAAAACAAGUGAGGUAAAAUCCCAUUUCAUCCCUCAGUCCAAGAACUGAGUAGAAGUACCAUUCCAGGGAGGCUUGGUGGUGCUAAAAGGAGGCAAGAAGGAUGUAAGAUCUCAAAACCUAAGUGAUGAAAGACAUGCCAGCCACUCAUCCUCCCACCUCCAGCACUUUUUAAAAAGUUAAUCAUCGAAUUAAACGUUAUAAUCCAAUUUCCAAAAUUGUUCUCCCUCACUUAAACUGCUGUCACCUCUAAUAAUCUUACAGGCAGAUGCAUUCAUUUCGAACAUCGUUCUCUUCAGAUUCUGCAACAUCUGAAGCCCUGGAUCACGCCACUUUGUUCGUCCCUGCCAGAACACUGCUGGCCCUUCCUUCUCCCUAAUGCUACAGAUCUAAUGCCUCCUCCCGAUCAGACUCCAAACCACAGCUUCCCUCAAGGCCUUGGUCCUCAGUGCUCAGGCCUCUCCGCGUGCUCACCCCUUGAAGAAUCGAACCAUCACUGCCGGGAUGACAAAUCUGAAACUUCCCUCCUUGGCUAGACAUUUCAACAUGAGCCCUGGGUCUAUAGUUUCAGCUGCUUAGGAAUUUCCCCUUGAAUGUCUAAAACCAAGCAAGCAGCCAUAUCCCCUCAAAACUGGUUUCUUUUUCCAGUUAUUACAUGCCUGAUCGUUCUGCAGACCUGAAAACCUCAAGACCAUUUUUUCACUCUCCUCUUCCUCUCUCUCCUCACUCUGGGGCAUCCCUCACCUGGGUCCUACCUCUCCUCUCUCAUCUCCCCUGACUAAAUCCAUCAUUACUGAACGUGACUGCUGGAUGGCUUUACCAGGGUCUACCUCCUAUUUCUCCCUCCCUUCACUUCUCCUUUAAUAUCAGAUUAACCCCUCGCUAGACACUGUGGUAUCUUCCCCCUUCACAGUCACAUCAUCACCCCUCUUCUUCAGAACACAAAUAGUGGGCUGGCUUUAAAAUACGUUCCCAGAUUCUCUGACACUCCCCUCCUUACAAGCUGCGCUCUAAUCCGUUCCCCUUGAACGCGAGCUGAACUUACUGGCUUGCUUCUGCUUCUAAGGAAGAAAAGUGGCAAGAGAGCUCCCUGGUCCCGAAUCCCCGACCUGCAGAAACGGUUAGAGAUAAUCAGUGCUGACGGGUGUUCUGAGCCACUACAUUUGGGGGUAAUCUGUUAGAGGGCAACAGAUCACUCCUUCAGAAGGGCUCUCUGCUGCCGAAUGGAUCAAAUGCAAAUUCUGGCCACUCAGGGUCUUCCACUGACUGCCCUUCCUGUGUCUCUGAACAGCAACACACUGCUUCAGUCUACGGCCAGUCACCGUACUGACUGCUGCGGAAAAAAUUCCACCUCGACUUUAGCCUCGGCUAUUUUCACACGAAAGGUCCUCCUUGGUUCUCUCUACUCGACUAAAUUCAACACUUUGUUAGGCUCAAUGCAAAGUCUCCUUGUCAAAGAAAUUUUUCUAAUGCAUACAAAUAAACAUCUAUCUCAUUUCCAAAACUGUAUUUAAGUUAUUUAAGGUAGACAUCAUGACUUUGCUAUCUUUAUAUUCCCCAUAUUAACGGACACACAGAUAUAACUUUUUGUUUAGAAUUAUGUUUUAUGAGGCUUCUUUCAAAAAAAGUUUUGAAUGUCUUUUAACGAUGGACAUAUACAAUAAAGGGUACUUGGCUUUAAAAGGUGUCAGAUAGUUUAAGAGUAUAAUUUGGUAGAAUAUAUUACCAAAAUAAUCUACAGGACCUAUGAAUAAGCAAUUCCAUUUCCAGGAGUCUACUUUACAGGUAUAAUAACACAAGUCAGCAAAACACAGGUACAAGGACAUUCUCCACAGCAUUGUUUAUAACAGGGAAAAGCCACAAGCAACAUAAAAUACAUCAAAGAGGAAAAACUAAAUUAAAUUAGGGUAUAACAGACUACCAUGGAUCCAUUUUAAAAAAUUGAGUAAGUCUCCAUGUACUGACAUGUUCAGACCUCCAUGAUAUAAGCGGAAAAAAGAUAGUUUUAUGAAGAAAAUAAAAUAUUUAAGAAUAAAUAUAACAAAUGUGAAAAACCCAUCUGAGGAAAACAUAAAACAUUCCUAAAAAGGCACAAAUGAAGACUUUAACAAAUAGAAGGACAUUUCUUAUUUUGGGAUAGAACAAGUCAACAUCAUAAAAAUGUCAGUUUGAUAUAAAUUAAUUUAUAAAUUUAAUGCAAUCCCCAUAAAUAUACCAACAAUUCUUUUUAAAGAAGCUAGACAACUGAUACAGAACUUCAUACUAAAAAUAUACACGCAAGAACAGCCAGGAAAACACUGAAACGCUGGAGAGGAGGACUAGUCCUCCGAGACAUUAAAUUACACGAGAAAGCCAUAUAAUGAAAAGUGUGCUACUGUCCAUGAACAGACAGACGAACCAGUGGAGUAAUACAGAAAGUCCAAAAACAGACCCAAGUACAGACAGAACUUCAGGACUAUAGGUAACAAAGGGGGCACCCAAAAAAAAUCACUGGGGCAAAAAGUGACUUUUUAAUAAAUGGCUAAAGCAAUUGAUUAGUCAUUUGGAAGACAAUAAAAUUAGAUCCGUACUUCAUACCGUAGACAAGAAGAGACUCCAAAUGAAUCAGGGAUCUAAAUGUAAAACCCUGAAGCCAUACAAGUGUUAGACAGGAAAAAACGGCAAAUUCUUCUCUAACCUGGAUAUAAGGAAACGCGUGCUAACCAUGACUCAGAAUCAGGAAAAAUAAAAGAAAAGAUGAUCAUUCGAUUACAUAAAAUUUGUGAACAAAAUUUUUUUGCAAGGCAAAAGAAAAAACCACCAUCAUUAACCAAAGACAAUAGAUAAAACGGGAGGAAAUAUCUGCAUCGUACCACAGAUAAAGGGCUUAUAUCUAUAAUACAUAAAAAACUCUUAAAAUUGAGUAAGUAAAGACUAGUAACUUGACAGAAAAAUGGCCAAAGGACACACACACAUACACAUACACACACAUAUACAUAUAUAAAUGCAUAUACCCCUUAAAGAAAAAAUGUUCAAUUUCACUCAUAAGAGAAAUGCAAACUAAAACUACACUGAAAUGCUGUUUCUCACCUAUCAGAUUGGCAAAAAUUAAACUGUAUAAAAAGGCACUCUUGGCCAGGCUAUGGAGAAAAGGCAUUCUCACACAGAGCUCCUUGGAGAAAUCGCCACUUCCAGGGCUGAGGCAGAGAAAGGACACGAGGGGAGGGCCAUUCUAUGCCAGAAGGUAAGGAUGUGUCAAAGAAUAAUGGGGAUGUGUCAAAAGGUAACAGGAGUCAGCUCAAAGGGGCUCCCACUGGCCGAAUCUAGGACAAUCUGAGCAUCAAAAUAAGUAAGGAUAAUGAAAUAAGAAUAAAAUAAGAACCCACGAGUCUACACUGAGGUAAAUAAAUAAAUGAGACAGAACAGAAUGCUCUUUGUGGAAGAAAGUCAACAAAUAAACGAAGAGGGAAUGAUGGAAAUUUAAAUCACCAUCCUAAGAAUAACUGCUUCAGGCAAGAAUCAUCCAUGGAUUCUAAAGCCUACGAGGAAAUGUUUGAGGAAUAACAGGGUAUUAACUAAAAACAUAACUCCAGACGACAGUUAUUGUUUGAAAAAGGAGAAAGAGUAACUUUACACCUGACAACCCUGGCAGACCAGGGCUUAACUGAAUGGUCAAAGUUAAACUCACCAGCAGUGGGACAGACAGACACCAUGUGCCCCUGAGUAUGAUGCACUGAGAAGAACGCAAUGCCCCUUGCACAGCAUUUCUGCCACAAGUGCAAAACCUGACUCCACCUGCGUGGAAACUUCAAACAAACCAAAGUGGAAGGACUUGCUAGUAGUAACUGGCUAGUACUCUUCACAAGUGUCACACAAAGAAAGACUGAGAAACUGUUCCAGAUAAAACGAGACCAUACGUAACGUAUGAUCCAGGGUUUUCUUACCAUAAAGACAUUUUGGGAAUAAUUGGCGGAAUCUGACUAAGGUCUGUACUUAGAUAGUAUUGUAUCAGUUAAUUUCCUGACUUUGAAAAAGAAUAAACUUAUUUAGAAAGGAAGGGAAAAAGUAGGUUCUGGCCAAGAAUGCACAGCCUGGAUUUAACAAUGAGAAAACAGCAGAUAAACAUAAAAUGAGGAACUUUCUAUUAUUCCAAAAAAAAAAAAAAGGACAGGUACUAUAUUCUUCAAAAAUGUCAAUCUGAUAAAAGACAAAGAAAAACUUUCUGUUUUUCAGAUUAAAGAAUAUUAAACAGAUAUGUCAACUAAAUGUGAUCUAUGACCCUAUACUGGAUCUCAUACCACAGGGAAAAAAAUAUGAUAAAAAUCUUGAUUAAGUCAACUGACAAAACCAUCAUAUGAAUAGCAGAUUAGAUUAAAACAUUUUAACAAUAUAAAUUUAUGAAACAGUAACUAUUACUGUAAGCCCAAAUAUUAUCCAAAUAGAGAAAACCCCUAUUCUUAGGAAAUACACACUGAAAUAACUAGAGGUAAAGGGCCAUGAGAUAUGUAACAUCCUCAAAUGAUUCAGAAAAAGGAAUACGUAUACACACAUAUACAUACAAAAAUACAGAAUAGGAAAAUAUGCACAAAUGAUAAAGUAAAUGGGGGAAAAUGUUAACAACAGGUGAAUCUAAGUAAAAAUAGAUGUUCUUUGCAUUAUCUUUGGGUUUUUUGCAACCUUUUUAAUGGUCCGUCCUCUAAAUGAAAUGAUUCUGAAUUAUCAUAAAAUAGAUUAAGAUCAGCAAUCUUCAAAAAGAAACUACCUUACGAGUUAGUGUUUAAAUAUUUUAACAAUAACUGCAUUUUCUAAGUGUUCAUUUGAGAGAGAAAGUGUCUCAAAACGACCAAGCAAUAGCCUAAGGGAAACACAACUGGAAAGAAGCUGAAAUGUGCACAAGAAAUUCUAUCACAUGUGGAUAUGACCACAAGAGCCUGGACAGUAGGCUACCUGGCUCUGAAUUUGGGUUCCAAGCCCUAAGCUGCGCUAAACCCUAUAACUUUAUAAAGUGGGAAUGAUAACAGUACCAUCUCCUAGCGCUCUUGUGGGAUUAAUGAAACAAGAGAAGAACAACAUCUUAGCAAAGUGCCCAACACAGAGUAAGCAUCCAUUAUUAUUGUUAUUACUAUUAUUUCUCCAUUGUAUUGGAACAUGUCUGACAUAGGAUAACGAGGCCUUUGGUAGCUCAUUACAAAGGAAACUCGAGAAGAAUUCCUCACGUUUAUCAGCACCACACUCUAGUAAAGAUGCUCUGAUUUUAGGCCCCAGUUUUUUAGACAGAAUAGCCCCUGGAGUAAAAAAAAACAAGUUCUCUAUCAAAUUCCCAUGAAUUGUUGGAAACAGCAAUUGAAAAUACCCAAUUCUUCCCCAUCUUAUUUCUAUGAUCACCAAGUAAAGUUAUGAUCCAAAUUUUAUCCUUUCCACAAACCCACAGCUGGCCACAGAACCUCUCCCACUGCAAAUUAACAUUCCAUCUUCUGCAACCUUGCUUAGUUUAGUUAGCUUCAUUCAAUCUCACAGUCCCCAUCGACUCUGAAUGAACUGAUAAAAUCAAAUUUCUUCACCUCCAAAGUCACACCCUAGACGCCUGAUCAAACAGUGCAGAGUUCUGCUCCUCUUGAGACCUGCCUAAGCAAUCAGCGGCUUCCCUCCUCGACAGGAAUUUAACUACCAAUGGUGAAAUGUCAACUUCCCAGAAGCAUCUAUCAAGGGCAGACCAUGUGUCUCCAUUAACCACAGGAUGCCUAAUGGACACUGGGAGCAAUUCAACAUUUGCUGAUUAAUAAACACUGGCCUUGAAGAAAAGGCACUAAGUAACAAUCAAUAACUCUGUGUUAAUCAUACAAAAACAGAACAUAAACUGUGGGUGAGUUAAUUCUGAAAUUAACCUUUCAGAUGACAUAUUUCAAAACACUGUGAAAUAGCAAUUUACUUACUUAUUUAUUUAUUUUUUUGGUGUGCAAGAUUGGCCCUGAGCUAACAUCUUUUGCCAAUCUUCCUCUUUUUGCUUGAGGAAAAGUGUCCCUCAGCUAACAUCAUCCCAAUCUUCCUCUGUUUUGUAUGUGGGAUGCUGCCACAGCAUGGCUUGAUGAGCUGUGUGUAGAUCUGUGCCUGGGAUCGGAUCCUGUGAACCCCAGCCUGCUGAAGCAGAGCACAUGAACUUAACCACUACACCACUGGGACGGCCCCCAAAAUAGCAAUUUUUAAGGAUAAAUACCAAGCAAGUUCACCAUAUAAUUAUACAAAAGCUAUCACACAAAAUAAUCAAAUUGCUAUCAAGUAGAAAUAAUUUACUAAUAACAGAUUUCUACUUUUUACUCAAUAAGGUCUUCUUUUAACCUUCGUAAUCUUCAGUAAAACCCAAGAAUCUGUCUUCACUAAAAUCAAGAAAAUAGCCAGACGUUAUUCCUAAAUGUUCAUUUUCUCUUAGUAGCUUUUUUAACUUACUUACUAUCUUUUCUCAUCGAAGGUAAUGUGAACAUACUCACUGUAAAUUCUAAGUCCCAUUUGCCGUCUUCUAUACUUUUCUACUGAAACAAACCACAAACUUCUCUUCUUGUUUCCCACUCUUCGAGGAUGAAAAAAUUCUCCUUUACUCCAAGAGGAAUAUACAAACUCCUACCACAUCUUUCCUUGUGUUUUCCUCUGUGAAAUCUUGGAUAUCAGGUCCCCAUCAGGUCCCUCCUCCCCACACUAGCAGCUCCCAAAAAACAGACCUACUUACCUCCUGGACAUCCUUUUCUAAUAAGUGGCACAAACAGCACAUUUCCCUUCAAAAUUUAAAAGACAAAAAUUGUCCUCCACCUUCUUUGUUUCAGGUCUCAUUCUCCAAAUUUCUUUAGAACAUAAAGUGUUAUCCUCCAUGCUGCAAAGCUAAUCAUCGUGUCUCCACAUAAGUCUGUGCUUGCUUAUUUACUAUUUAUUUUUGAGUAAGAAAUAUUUUCAAGUAGUUAAAAAGUAAAAAAGGGUAUUCAGGGAAACGUCUCCGUGUCCUCCAGCCACCUACUUCCUUCUCUUAGAGGCGUGAAAUGUUACAGUCCAUCUUCCGUCCUUCCAGAGAUAUUGUAUCUAUACAUCUACAUCUAUACACGCACAAAUGGUUAUAAAUUCUUUUUACACUCUUCUAUGCCUUGUUCUUAACCUAAGAUUGUAUCUCCAAGAAUAUAGCAUCACAGAAUAUAACGAGCUUCCUCUUUCUAUUUUCAAGGCUAUAUAUGACUUUAAAUAUACAUAAACCAGUUUCCAUGGCUCUAGUCUCUUGUUCCAUCCAUCCUUUCAAUAUACAUUGUGCCGGACAUGUCUGCCUGCUUUUAAAAAAGAAAAAGAAAAACACAUUCUAGCUCCAAACCUGAAUAUUUCCUAUAUAUUAGACCAUGUUAUUAUGUCAAUGCCAAACUUGUUGGGUGUUAUAAUUGUAUUGUGGUUACAUGGAAAAAAGUCCUCUUUGGCAGGAAUUUAGAGAUGAAGUGUGAUGAGCAUUUGCAACCUAUAUUCAAGUGGUUAAGCAAAAGAUACACACCACAUUUGAUUCCAAACCCAUACAGACAGAGCAAGCAGGCAGUACGGCAAAAUAUUAACAAGUGAUUAAUCUAGAAGGGUAUAUAAAUGUUCAAAGUGCUAUUUUUCUAAAGAUUUGAAGUUUUCAAAAUAAAAAGAUGGGGCAAAAGGGUUCUGGUACUUCCAUAGGGUCCCUUCCUUUGCUACCUUAAAACAUACAAUGGUCAUUUCCCAGCUCCCACGCCUAUGUCCUAACCUAGUCCAACCUCAUCCCUCACACCCUCUCCCGAAAGAAAGUUAAAAUGACUUCUUUAGUUAUUUUCAACUAUUGGUCCUUCAACCUUGAACUGCUCAAACAUCACGGCCCCUGGGGUCUUCCCCUACUGCUUCAGUCCUCCCUUCUCCCUCCUUGUCUAGACCAUUCUCUGGGGAAUUCAGACAUUUACUGGAUCUCAGCGUUUCGUGGCGUAUAUACUGGAAACCCAGCUAGAGACUAAAUACCCAGAGGAAGCAGCUCUCGAUGAGUCAUUUCGUAAUUCCCACAGCACUCAGGUCAAUGUGAUGCACAUGACAGGUAUUCAGUGUUUACUGAAAGAAAAGGGUUCUUUAAACAAAGAAGGGUAUGGGAACCACUGCUAGGCAGUGGAGAGGUCUCACAGCCCACCACCGCGGUCUGCUCGAGAAGCAACUCCCGUCUCUUCAGCUUCUCCUCCAACACUUGCAACUCAUCUCAUCCUGCCUAUCCCUCCAGACUGUCACAACCGUCUUCUCUCUGACACAAACAAUGACAGAUUAUCCCACUGAGAAGGGAAAAACCUGUUCCAUAAUCCCAAAUAAAGCAACUCGAGAAGUUAGAAUGGCCAAAUUCUCUUAAAUUUUAUUUACAUAACAUUACUCUCUAACACUGUAAUAAACUGUAAACAAUUUGAAAAAAGCACCUCUCAAUACCUGUCUACAGAGCAUUCCUGCACGGUACCCUUUCACCAGUUUGAAACUAGGGGAGACCCGCCUCUGAAGGUGUGCUUCGGUCAGUCAGAAUGACACUAACGACACUUGAACACAGAGACACUGUCAUGUUGAUGAAGACAACAACCUGUGUCUAACAACAAUACACUGUGGAAAAGCUGAUUCACUAACAAGGAAAAAGACAAACGAUAUCUACUGAAAAAUAGGAAUAAGAUCUACAUGAAAUAAGACACAAAUGGAAACUGCACAAACGUGCAAUUACAGUUCAACCCUCCAAAAACUGAGAUCCAGAGAGGUUCAACACCUCAUCCAAUCUCUCGUAACUAAUCAAAUCAAGCUAGGUUUAGAAUUCAUAUGCUCUUCUCAGGCUUUCUGCCCCCUUUACCUCUAAAUUUGAUAGAUUUAACUCUCGGUCCAUAAAAAGCAGAGUGCCUCAGGAAGCAGAAGUCCUAAUUGUGGUCUACGAUGCCAAUAACCAGGCGUGUAAAAUUAAGUAAAUUGUGUCAUCUGUAAAAUAAGAGGAUUGAAUUAUAAUGAACUCUGAAGUCCCUUAGAGCUAGAAUGUGCUCUGAUCCUUGACACUGGCAUAAGCAACAGGUGUGUACUUAUAAAUCUGACUCUGUCACAUUUCUCAGACCAAACUUUGUUACAGCUUAAACAGUUUAAAAACAUUAUUUUAACCCAAACAACAACUUUACCAAAAACUUCAUAAACAGAAAGAAUCCUGAAAUUCAUCAUCUACAUGAUUACUAUUACUUACAUUUUGGCAGAAUGCGUCUUAGCACAAAAUUUAAACUUCAGUCUGAAACCUACUUGAACAUCUAUUUAACUAUCUCAAAGGAUCUGGGAAGUUCUACAUUUCACUUCAUUUUCCAUUCAACAUGAAAUAUGCUAUAGAAACAUAUUAAACUCUUCAGAAAUAGUGCGCAGCAGCAUGGAAUUUUACUGACUACAGUAACGUUAACUAUCAGAAUAAAACUUGUCUUUAGAUCUGGUCUGCCAUUAGUCAAGCUAAAAAAAAAAUGCCUGUGCCAGCUGUAGGAUGGUACUAGGCUAUCUGAUCCAGGAACGAGAAAAAAGCAACAGGGAAAGGAAGAGGAAUAGAAGAAACAGGACCCAAAAAGAAAAAAAGGAAGGAAAUUGAGAGAGUAAAGCAAAUGGAAAGAAAAGAGAAUAAACAAGGAGGAGAGGAAUUGCCAACAAUGGCUUGUCAGCAUCCCAGGGCCAUGGUGUGCCAGCAUCCCAGGGCCAUGGUGUGCCAGCAUCCCACCAACCUCCCUCAGAGUCCAGACACCUUUAAGCAUUUUUGUUUGUUUGUUUUCAGACAGAAAGUUUGCCCAGAGAGGACAUGUUUACUUGUGCCUGGUCCUAGACUUCACGUCGAGGAUUAGGAAGAUGCCAAGGCAUGAAAAGUAACACAGAAACAGCUACAAUCCAAAAUACACUGGACUGUUGACCUGGGACGUCCAGGCCCUCACAUGUUCCCGAGGAGUCAUCUUUCCACAGUUUGGAUCUCAUAACUCCAAAAGAGUAUAAUGAUCCAAAAAAGAUGUUUUAGCAAAUAAUAUGCAUAUUUAUACAACUGCAAUUCAAUACUUUCAAAAACUGGUACUCUCCAAAAACUACAAAAUACAGUCCGAAGGAGGGCAUUUCCAGUGAGACCCUCGAGAUGCCACUGCAGCUGUCAAAAGUAAGCACUGCAUGAACUCUGGGCCUAACUUUGAAAAGCCAUUUGAUGUAAGUCAAAUAAUAGUAUCUGGUGAUAUCCUGAAUAUUCACUGGAAAUGAAUAGGAAAACUCCUUAACUUAUUUUCUAACAAAGAAGCCUGUGCUAGUGACUAGUCUUGACAUACACAGAGUUUUAGAACACCUCAAAAUGUAAAAUUUUUCAUUUUUACCCUCCCAUUCCCUACUCUUCUUUUUUAUUUCCUUCCUCUUAGAUGAGAUUUUUUUUUUCCCUCCAAAAUCUUACUAUUCUUUCCUCUUCAAAAAAUUAACUCACUUGAGAAUGUAUUGUCAAACCUCACUUCAACUCACCUCAAACCUUGAGUCCAUCGGACUCUUGGCAUCUGGGAGUCUGGUGUGAUCUGGAAUGCCUCCAGAGCACCACCUGUUAGAACGCCUCGGACUCUCCAUGAACCCCUCCCAAAGCCAGACCCUUUCCCCCAAAUAAACACGCCCUCUGGGUAAGAACAGUGUGCUGGCUCUCCAAGGGCUGCUUGAAGACGUCUCCUGGUCUCUCAUCGCUUUCCUUCCAGACUCCAGCCCCAGAGCCCCUUUAUUUAGAAACUGCAGAGCUUCCAGUGUUCCCCAAAGUCCCCAAAACAGGGAAUGGUUAUGCCCUGACUUACUCUUCAUCUCUCGGCUGACAUCUCUUUCCUGCAACCACGAAUCUUCUGUGAGGCAGUUGGCUUCCGAGACUGUCUAGGUUAACGCUAUUGGAGUCUUAUUAUGCAUCCAAAUCCAGUGAGUUUUAACUAGGAAAAAAACUAUGUCUCAUAAAAACCAUUUAUUUAGUGAGCCCACAAUUAUGUAAGGUACCGCAUCAUACUCUGGAGCUGUCUCUUAAAAGGUCCUUGGUUCGUUUUGAUACAACACUUAGGUUUAAGGAGCGGCAAAUAGUCUGUCAUUUAAUAACAACAGAAAUACGUCAAUAUAUUUUAACUGGAGACAUCUACUCUACUUAAGUAAGAAGACCCAAUCUGAGUUUUAACAGACCAGAGGUUUUUGCAAAAUAUAUGGAAUUCUCAAGAAACUCUGUAUCCAUCUGAUACUUUUAAAACUCAGUUUGCCAUACAGCAAUCCUUAAACGAUGGAACAGUGCAGAAAUCAAACAACAGGUGCUGCAACUGGAAAAGAAGGAAAAACAGGCACAGAAUCAUACCCCUUUAGAAGAGAUUAUCUAAUCCAGCGGUUCUCAAAAUGUGGUCCCCUGACCAGCUGCAUCAGCAUCACCUGGAAACUUGUAAGAAAUGCAGAUGAUGAGACUCGCCCCAGACCUACUGAGUCAGAAACUGCAGGGGGGGGGUCCAGCAAUCUGGGUUUUAACAAGCCCUCGGUGAUUCGCAUACACACUAAAGUCUGAGAACCACCGAUCAAUCCAGCCACUCAUUGAUGAGAAAGAAAUGAAGCCAGAAACUGCAAGUCUUAGAUCAAGUUAGUGACCAAGGUCACCAGAGAUAGUUCUCAAUAAACCUUCAAAAUAAUUCUUAAACAGUACACCUGAAUCCAAGCAGGCCCUCAGGAUUUCCCAGGCUGGAAACAUCUUGUUAUACUGCAGUAUUACUUCUUAAGUCACAGUUAGACAGACAGGCAGAUACAAAUUUUCUUGUUGUGAGUAAUUUACAUGUAGUACCGAAAAAAGACUUCACAUUAUUGACCUCCCCACAAAAGCAACAAGUCAGGGCUCACAGGCUUCUCUGUUUGUUUGGCUGGUUGGGUUAACUUCUGUUGCUGAUAGCAGUAGUGGGUUUUGUCUUGUUAUGGCUGUUUCGGUUUGGUUUUGCGGGCAACAGCAAGAAUUUACGGGACAUAGCUGACAGUCUGCUUUCGGUUUUGGGGGCUUUUCCCCCCUCCACCAAAGAGUUCACAUUAAAGGCUUUGAAAAGCAAUCAUAAAGGACUAAUAGGCCAAAAAUUGAUUAAAAAAACAAAGUAACCCUCCCCCCCCCAAAAAAAACUUCAGAUUUUAUCUUGGAAUGUAUCCUAUGACUUUUUUUUAAGUCAACAGAUUUUUAUUUUCUCUUGUAUAAAAUUAGUUUUCAUUUGUGGAACACAUAGUGGCAGAAUGAUAGGAAGCUAGACUGUGUCCCAGGAACGAGGACAGGCCUAGAAUCAAGCCACACACAACACCACGAAGUAGGUGCCUCUGACGCACAGCACGGAGGGUACACUAUGCAUCAUCUCCUACAAGGACAAGACCACAUACUCGGCUGCGUCAUCAACCCACCAAUGCAACAUCGACCACAUGAAACGACAUCUACAAUUUUCGGCCCUAGGGCUCUCGUUCUAAACAGAUGUUUGAUGUAUCUCGUACCUUUUUAUAUAAAUAUUUCAAAGUCUAGUAGUGGUUAUCUCCCCGACUACACAUCUGUUUCUAUUUACACUUUAAAUAUCCUCUUUGAGAAGUUUAUAACUUGGGUGUCAGGAUUACCACAGAUUGAGAUUUAGAGGUUUCAGAAAUAAACGUUUCCAUUCCUGUUUCUCAUACUGAAGCUGUUUUCUCAAUGUCAUGCCAGACUAGGGAUGUUUUCAACCCUGUUUUCCAACCCCACUAACAUGUUUAGUCACCUUUGACUUUACAAACCAAAUUUUCUAACUAAUACAGUUCAGCGUGUGAUUUUAUUUCUCGGAAGAACCAGGGAUGAGCACACAAGGCCACAGAAACAACUACUUCUUUCUGACUUACACUUCCAACUCUCUGUGGAUGACCUCUAUGACCAAAUUUUGUACCUUUAUUUUUCAAUUCGUCGUCAAAGAAGGGUAAUAAUCCCUGCUACAUACUUUACAGGAAAGAAAUGAGAGUCACUGAAUUAACAAUAAUGCUCUGGAGAGAUGGCCUUCCUUGGAAGGACUGUAAAUUCAGUGAAGUUACUGGUCCUCAGCCUCCUCUUCAGCUCCACAAUAUACCCUCUGAAGUUAAAUUAGAGGGGUUAAAAUUAUUUCAACAUUCUUUCAUUCAACAAACAUUUCUGAGCACUCGCCGGGCAUCAGGCAGUCUAUGAGGCACGAGGGAGACAACAGCCAGCAAGACAAACACAGCUCAUGCUCCUCACAAGACAUCUUAGAGAAGCGUUGACUGAACUUACGGGACUUCCAUUCAGUUUACACGCCAAGGGCUCAACUCCAUUUGAUUUGUAAAUAAUUAUUCAUAAUCAUAAUUACUCGUCAUCACUCCACUCUGCUCCUAAAAAAGGGAGACCACAUGAACUACAUGAAAAGCUCACAGAACACACAGACAAACGCUCUGUAAUAUGAAGGCCUCACAUAGGUCAAAAUAGCACCCAGUAAACACCUUAUAAUCUAUGAACCAGACACACAGUGUUAAGCCCCAGAAAAUGAACCAAGAUUUUCUUUUAAAGGCAGAAGACCUUGGCCUAAACAUUUACCUGUCAAAUACUAAACUUAAACAUAAUCAGUCCUCUCUAAUUGUGCUGUCCAGUACAGUAUCCACUAGCCAUUUGUGGCUAUUUCCAUUUAAAUCAAUUAGAAAUUCAGUUCCUAUGUCACACUAGUUACAUUUAAAGUACUCAACAGCCUCAAGUGACUAGUGGCUAUCACUUCUAAGUCAUUACAAACACCUCAUUAUAAAUCAUUUCUAUCAUCUCAGAAAGCUCUAAUGGGACAGUACAAAUAGCUCUGUAAUACCAAACCUGAAUAUUAUGGGGUAAUGAAAUGUGACGAAGAGUCUGUAUUCUGCCACUGCACACAGACGUAUGUCCAUCGGUAACGCAGCGCCAUUUCUUCCUUCCUAAAUAAGUUGAACGUGACAAUAUUAAGUAUCUCUUCCAGUGUGCAUGAGUAACCAAGAAAAUUCAUGCCACCCAACUGGUCAGUCAAGAACAAAAUUGGGACACAAGUGAAAAACUGAUUCCAUUUUGCCCUCUCCCUCCUACUCUUUUUACAAGAAUGUGUUGGUGGUAUUCUGCGUUCUCUGUGCAAGGAUGUGGGUUUUCAGCCUAGUAGCUAGUAGCAGAGGAGGUGAAGACAGUUAAGAACGAAGACGGGUGACACAGGCAAAUAUCAACACAAAUAAUGCAACUCAAAUUCAGUUCAGACCGACGCAAUGAACUUAAGAACCUACUGUGUGUCAGACACACACAGAUAAAUAAUCCCCAUUUCCAAUUUUGAUGAGCUCAGUUAGUAGGGGUGUCCAACGUGUCAACAAAAACAAUAUGACAGGUCGUGAUAAAUGCAGUGAGACAAACAUGCACAGGACACAGAGGUGACACAGGGAAGGGAUUUUUCAAUGUUUUCUGAGGAGAAAUCAGGGAAAAUUUCCUGAAGGAGGUACCCACGAGCAACCUAGGCAGAGCUGUGCAAAGGAAAUACGGGUGGUUUGGCAAUGCCGGAGAAAUGUGGCUUUGGUGGUCAAGAGGGACGCGGAUGACAAGGGAGGGAAGGAGACGGGGUUGGAGAGCUGUUUCCAUGCCAGACUGCCAACACUCAUGCUUACGUCAGGCUUGCCCUGGUGGGUCUACAAACUUUGCUCACCCAAACUGCAAGCACCGUAAAACCAAUCCUUAAAUUUCCCAAGUAACAUGCCUAUGUCUGCCACACAGCUAACACUAUUAGACAGCAACCAUUAGUAGGAAUACAAAGACAUUUCUUUGUGACACAGUAUCAUCUAAUAAUACGUAUUGGUUGCAAAAACACGGUAAUAGGAGCCCUUUGUUUUCAGGGAAAGACCUGUUUCCUGUGAGUUUUAUUUGGAAUAUCUUUAGAGAAUAUAUCAAUAAACACAUGUUCAGAACAGAUGAGUUACCCUCACAUCUAAAUAGUCCCUGUAAGAGUUCAUCUGACCAGGACACAAAUGAAAUAAAGCAAAGGGAGAAGAGGAAUGUAGAAGCAGAACUUCUGUACUCUACACCAGAGUAAUAGUUAUUUUGCUCCCAAAUGUUCACGGCAAAGCUUCUGCUCCUCUGUAGACUGCCCCCCACUUUGGGCUACACCCAGCCUAUGACCACAAGAUUGUAUCGUGCCAGCAACGGAAAGGACUUCUGCGGCUGCGUAUGCAAAUCCUUGGAAAAUACCUGAAUCUUCUCGACUCUUCCCUUCACUUUGCACAUGUUUACGUCUAAAAACAAAACAAAAAACUCCCAUGGAAUGUGUUCUUUUCAAAUUACUGGGGUCCCCUCUCUUCUCUUCACUAUAAACUUCCUGAAAACGUUAGUAGCCUACAUACCUUAACAAAUUCACCAAGUGAUUCUCCCCGCUUUAGUACAAGCACAACUUUCCAGAUGAAAAUACAUAAAUACAUAGGUAAAUACUGUAUACAGACUCGCUGGCCUGCAGGCAAACAUAUAACUAUUGCUAUUCACGCAAACAUGUGGCCCUUAGGUAAAGACCUAUUUCCAAGACAGCAUGGCUGAAAGCACGGGUUCUGGAGUCAGCCUCCCCGAGUACUAGUCAGAGAUCGUCACUGACCAAUUCUUUCUUACCUCCUAAGCCUCAAUUUCCCCAAUUGUAAAAUGACGAUCAAUACGUGUUAGCUAUUUUUACUAUUUCGUCUCUAAAGAUGGGUGGUUUCACAACUAUCUAUUCCAUCAAGCUGGUUACUUCGAUAAGUUCUGACCCCCUCCCUGUGCAUCAGAAAUACUCAGGGAGGUCUUUUUUCUAAUGCACCAUGUCCAGGCCCGGGGUAGAUUGGGGUUCCACUGGUCUGGAACGGGGCCGGGCAUCGGAGUUCUUUCUGAAGCUAUUCAGUUGCUUGUAUGUAUAAACAGGAUUAAGAACCACGCGUAGUUCUCUGCCAGCCAAAGAGAGCGCCGCGCCGGUGAGGUCUGAGAGACCUCCGACCGAAUCAGCGCAGGCCGGCCCGGACGCAGGAGGCUCGCCCAGACGCUGUGACCACGGACUCCAAGCGCGGGGAUUUACACCCACGUCCGAGCCCUGCUCACCGGCAUCACCUCCCUUGGACCCCGCCGGACGCGCCUUGACACCGGCGCGCCCGGGAUCGUCUGGGGCACACGCCCCCUCGCCCCUCUCCCCCGGCCCCCGCGGGCGCCGGGCCCUCCG